rnacentral:sRNA from 1 species
UUUUUGUAUUUUUUUAUUUAAAUAAAGCAACGGCUUAAAUGAUGAUAGAUAUAGUUCUUUUUUUGUAUGUGUAUAUGAUUUUUAUGUGAAUAUUUUCAUUA